CGUAGCCGCGGUAAUACGAAGGGUGCAAGCGUUAAUCGGAAUUACUGGGCGUAAAGCGUGCGUAGGCGGUGAGUUAAGCCUGCUGUGAAAUCCCCGGGCUCAACCUGGGAACUGCGCUUGUGACUGCACAGCUAGAGUAUGGCAGAGGGGGGUGGAAUUCCACGUGUAGCAGUGAAAUGCGUAGAGAUGUGGAGGAACACCGAUGGCGAAGGCAGCCCCCUGGGCCAAUACUGACGCUCAUGCACGAAAGCGUGGGGAGCAAACAGGAUUAGAUACCCGUGUAGUCCCUGUCUCUUAUACC
rnacentral:rRNA from 1 species